rnacentral:lncRNA from 1 species
UGCUGGUUAUCAAUCAAUCCUGCAAGUAGGAAACACAACUUAAUGUCUGUUCUAUGGUCGGGUUGUUGUCUCUUUGACACCUUCCCCAUUUUCAUUCUUAAUUUUAAAGAAUAAACAUACAAAAAAAGAAGACAGCAUUUUGUUUUUGUUUUUAUUUCCCCCCUUCCCAGCAUGAUUAAAUGUUAAACAAAUGAAACAAACUUGACAUGAUGACUUGAAAAGAAAACAAUUGGUUAUAAAAAUGAUUUGUGUACAUAUAUGCUUUGAUUUGUGUACAUAUAUGCUUAACUCUUUCAAUCAAGUUGAAUUUGAAGUGAAAUUUGUCUGCAAGAUUCAUAUAUUGAUUUGAAAAUGGAUUUAUGAAGUUUUUUAUGGACUUUCAUUCAUACAAACACAAUUUCCAAAGAUGUAAAUGUUUUUUCCUAAUAAUGAUCAAAUGUAAAAAUGACAAUUGAUGCAGGUUAUUUUUGAAAGAUUCAAUUAUGAAUUAUUAUUACAACUAAGUGAAUUUUUAAAUGGGAUGAUUAAAGAAUAUUAUUGCACAAUAAUUUUAUGAUCCAUCAAAUUUGUUGAAGUAUGAACUGCUAACUUAAUAAUUUGUUCUAUAACCCAAUAAAAGAAAAUCUUUAAAUUUAAGACAUAAAACUCAUAUUCUUCAGAUUCAGUCAAAACUUUGAAAAAAGAUGCAUGUGGAAUGAAUAAAAAAAUCUUCUUCCAAGUCAGUGGCUUCAACUUCAUUAUGUACAGGCAAAAAGUUAUUACCUCUUGAGCAUUUUAAUUUUUACCCGAAUUCCAUGUGUCCAUAGUUAAACAUUUUUCAGUAUAUCUACAUCGUUUCCCAAAAUAACUUUCUCUACAUCAUUUUCAUCCUAAUGUCAACAAGUAAACCCAUAAAAGAUAAUACCAUCAUAUUUUUAUUUCAAGAAAAAAAUAACUAUGGACAAUGGGAGAACCCUGAACAGUUAACAAAGAAAAAUAUAGACCCACCUAAUUGUCGUCAACACCAUUUUCCCACAAAGCGAUUUAAUUUUAGUAAAUAACACCCCCAUAAUAAACAGGCUUCCACCUCUUUCCAACAUUUUCCAUUGGUGCAUGUUUUGUAUCAACUGAGCAAAAGGGAUUAAUUCCGCACUCAACACACCUUUCAUUAGAUUGUCAUAGCAAAACCUCAUAAAUGAAAUUGGUUUAACAAAAUCUCUUCAUAUGAAUAUAUACUACAAGUAUUUCAUAUUUUUUUGCGUCAAUCUAUCAUUUCACUAAAAAAUUCCCCCAUCUUUAUUUCAAAAAAAAAAAAAAAAAUGAACAAAAAUUCUCCCAAUUUUCUUCAAAACAAGAAUUUAUCUAAAUUUGAAAGAGCUUCAAUUCAGAGAUUCGCUGUAAUCAGACAUUUCAACAAGAUUCUUUUAAACUUUGUGGUAAAUUUUCUGAUUAACUUCUAUUCUACAUAACAUGAACUAUAAACAAUGAUAUAAACAUCCUUUGAUCACUUGCACACUGAUAUUGAUACACAUGAUUAAAACGUCUGCACUAAUACCACAAAGCUUAAUCAAAGUCUUACAACUCGGUAAAAUAAAACAGUAUAAAAAAUAACAAAACCUACUCUAAAACAAUAAACUAUGUAUAAAAAAAAAGAUAAACAAAAAUCUCAUAAAAUCUUUUUCACUUUUGAUUGAAGACCCUGGUGGGUUCGUCUUAUAGAUAUAUUUUGAAAGGUCUAUAGACAACAUAGUAGCUAUAGAACCAAGUUAAAGCAGCAAAAGAAAAAUCAGUUGCAUAUAACCAAACUGGAACCAGGUGCUCCGCAGGGCGCAGCUUUAUACGACCGCAGAGGUCGAACCCUGAACAGUUGGGGCAAGUAUGGACAAAACAUUCAAGCAUGAUACAGCUCUGAAUUUGGAUUGUGAUCAAAUUUUUGACAUUACAUGUUUUUUUUUUACACAAAACAAAUGCCAAGAUUUUACAAAUCAAUUAAAGAUUUCUUCUUCAAACUUUUUAAAUCUAAAAUUAAAUAGUUGACACAGCAUAGGUUUCUGACACAGAAUGAAUGUGGUCUAAUGAACUUAAAAGGUUUUUUUUGCCUUUGAGCAAAUCACUAUGCUGUUGAAUAUUAAUCCUCUCAAAAAAUGUUUGAAGAAAUUUUCUUUUUAUUUAUGAAAUCUGAAAUGAGAAAAAUUUUACCCCCCCCCCCUUUUUUUUCACAUCCCCGUUUCCCUUUUUCAAAACUGAUAUCAAUUCAAAUUUCUAAUGGAGUUUGCAACAAUAACUACUCAUUUAAAUACAUCAUAAAAUAUUAAGAUGUAAAAAAACUGCUUGUU